UGGAAAAGGUGUUGAAAAUUAUUUUUUUUUUGGAAAAUGUUCCUGCUUUCAAUAGUGCACUUCUGGAUUUAAAAAUUGGUUAACAGCUACAGAACUAGCUGGUACUCAAGAUCGAAAUUUUAUCUGCAUGUUUUGAAGACCUGUUUGUAAAAUCAACCUGUCCCAGACCCUGCCAAUUCAGUUAUCCAGAUUUCACUCAAAUGGUUCGGUUGUAUUGUUCACAGUCUGGAACACGGAAUUGUCUAGAAGGUGAACACUAUCGAUUAUUGAGUGUCUGGAAAUGGGGUCAUUGUGCACAUAUAUUUCGUCAUGUAAUCCUGUUUACUUGUUUGCACAGCCCGCCCUGACAUCGCGAUGUGGUAUCUGGGCUUUGUAACUAUUAGCUCACAUUGAUUAACAUCUGUUUAAGCAGGGCGGAUUGAUCUAUGAGGGAAGAAUUCGAUUUGUAGCCGUCCAGAGGAUCCAGAGUUUCUGUGCCCACAUUGUAUAGAAGCUGCAAAGGUGAAAAUAAAAUUGAAAUCGAA